AUAUUGAAGUAGUUUUUGUUUGGCUCCUCUUCUUCUACCUGAACAUUAUAUCAAAUAGUUAUCAUCAGUUGGGAUAAAUAGAAAUUCAUCAUGGAACUCUGCGGAAACAAGACAAGAAUUCUCGUUUUUCAUAUCUCAAUAUAUACAUUUAUA
rnacentral:sRNA from 1 species